GUAGGGAACACCUCCCCCAGCCUCGCACCCCUGCUUUGAAGUUUCUGCUCUGUGCCUCUUAUCUUCUGGUUCCCAAUUCCAGUUCCCUGGAGAUGAAAUUGCCCUUAACAUGGAACAUCACUUCCUGGAUUCUACUGUAUCACCCUGCAGAGGUAUCCAGUUGAUAUCUUUAGCCUCUUUCCAAGAUAUAGCGACUUUGACUGAGUGGUGGCUGUAGGAAGAGAUGAGUCAAUGAGAGGACCUCCAAGAUGGUGGAACUGCAUUUGUGGAAUCAUCCUAAUGAUUAGUGCUAAUUAGACUUGUGAUUUCACCAUGAUAUCAGAGACCUAAGUAAGCAAAAUUUCUUUGUAAAAAUAAUCAUUUGUUUGUCUAUAGUCAAUAUGUUUCUAAUAGAAGCUGUCAGGAUUGUUCAAGUCUGUUCUGAAUGCAGGCUGUUUCCUUCCACAUAUGAUAAUAAUCUCAGAUGCCCCCGCAGAGUAAAGAAAAUUCUCUUCCACCACUGCACAUUCAUGAAAAUCAUGUCCUAUGAGAGUCAACUAAAGAAGUUACAAAGAAAAUGUCCAGAGCAAAAGAUAAACAUGAUGGACAUAGUAGAGACAUAAAAGCCUGGAUCCACGUGCAGAUCUUCCUUCUCAGAGCUGGGCAAUGUGUGCUCUGAACUUACUCUGUUACCGUUAAGAACCCCGAGCAACGGGUAAGUCACAAAGCUGCUGUGGACUUCAUUAUACUGG
rnacentral:lncRNA from 1 species